rnacentral:lncRNA from 1 species
AACCACUCAGUCAAGUCUUCUUCUUCUUCUCCUCCUCCUAUAGAAGAGAGGGGACAAGAGUUCUAAUAGCAAGAGCAGCAGCAACAUCAAAAUAUCAUAUGGGGAAAAAUCACCGAGCUCGCUUCACCCUCAUGAUCUCCUCCCUCAUCGUCAUCAUGUUUUGGUUGGCAGCAUUACAGCCGGCAGAGGCGGCCGACGGGUGGCCGAUGCCGAGUAGGUGGGUCGACCCAGAUCUACUGUUGCCGUCGCUGCCUCAGGGAACUACUCUUCCGAGGCGUUCACUGCGACCAUUAAUUUGCGGCUUUACUUGUCCGCCUCCUGUCUCUGAUCCGCAACCUCCUCCGGUGAAGCGACCCCCACGCCGACCAUAAGCCUCCCAGUGGGCUUCCCGUGCAACGUUGACGUACGUCGAUCGAGUGUAUGCAUGUUUCUGUUUUCUCAGCUUGCUUCUGUCUGCAGCAACAAAAAGAUUCGAAGAGAAUAAAAAGUAUCUAUUUUGUCAAGGUUUCUUGGAGUACAUGGGUGUGUUAGAUAUGCUUGUGCCAUCUAAUUCGUUGGCUAUUCUUCUUCUUCUAUGUCCUUCGUGUGUUAGAUAUGCUUGGGCUUACAUCUUCUUUCCUCUCAAUCAACUACGAUACGAUUUCAACAAGGAAAACAAGAGAAUCCUAGAUAGCUAAGAAGCAUGAGUUCUUGGGAUGAUGCUGCGGUUAUUAAUUUGCAGUCCUUUAAAAGCAUAAGAUUCGAUUGUUGGAAAGAAAUAAAUAAAUUUAAUUUAGCACGAUAUUUAUUGUAUGAGGAAAAGACAAGCGAAAAGUUGAAUAAGAAAUGAUUUCCAAGUA